rnacentral:rRNA from 1 species
AAAAUUUGUUAUUAAUUUGAUUUAUAUGUAAAUUUUUGUAUGAAUUUGUAUUAAUUUUAAAAAUUAUUAUAAUUAUUAUAUUCGCAGUAAUUAAUUUUAUUAAUUAAAGAAAUUUAGAAAUAGCAAUAUUAAAAAGUAUAGAUUAAAUUGGUGCCAGCAGUCGCGGUUAUACCAAUUAUACAAAUAAAUUUUUUUAGUAAAAGUUAAAUUGAAAUUUAUAUUAAAUAAAAUUAAAUUUAUUAAGUGAAAUUUUAAAUUUAAAUUUUUUAUAAAUAGAUUAAUUGAAGCUUGAAAAUUUUAAUAAA